ACUCCUGCGGGAGGCAGCAGUGGGGAAUAUUGGACAAUGGGCGCAAGCCUGAUCCAGCCAUGCCGCGUGAGUGAUGAAGGCCCUAGGGUUGUAAAGCUCUUUCACCGGUGAAGAUAAUGACGGUAACCGGAGAAGAAGCCCCGGCUAACUUCGUGCCAGCAGCCGCGGUAAUACGAAGGGGGCUAGCGUUGUUCGGAUUUACUGGGCGUAAAGCGCACGUAGGCGGACUAUUAAGUCAGGGGUGAAAUCCCGGGGCUCAACCCCGGAACUGCCUUUGAUACUGGUAGUCUUGAGUUCGAGAGAGGUGAGUGGAAUUCCGAGUGUAGAGGUGAAAUUCGUAGAUAUUCGGAGGAACACCAGUGGCGAAGGCGGCUCACUGGCUCGAUACUGACGCUGAGGUGCGAAAGCGUGGGGAGCAAACAGGAUUAGAUACCCGGGUAGUCCC
rnacentral:rRNA from 1 species